rnacentral:rRNA from 1 species
UACGAAGGGGGGCUAGCGUUGCUCGGAAUCACUGGGCGUAAAGCGCACGUAGGCGGACUCUUAAGUCGGUGGUGAAAUCCUGGAGCUCAACUCCAGAACUGCCUUCGAUACUGAGAGUCUCGAGUCCGGGAGAGGUGAGUGGAACUGCGAGUGUAGAGGUGAAAUUCGUAGAUAUUCGCAAGAACACCAGUGGCGAAGGCGGCUCACUGGCCCGGUACUGACGCUGAGGUGCGAAAAGCGUGGGGGAGCAAACAGGG